UAUUGCCUGUUGCCUGGCAUUGUGCAAGAGGCUUUAGAGAAAGAAUUAUGCAGGAUUCACACUGCGUCCGAUGUCCGACGUACGACGUCCGACGUCUUUGCACUAAGGUGCAUUAGUUUAGCAUCAGUGCAGCUAUAGAGAACAGAUCAUAUAUAACAGAGAAGUCAAUAUAAUAGUGAAAGAGUUGUAUUUUUGGUAGCAAAAUAGAUAUGUUGACACUGUUGUGAAAGAAAAAAAAAUUAUUGAAGUUAUUAUUGAUAAUAUGUAUACAUCAAAAUGUUAAACUAAAUAAAAAAUAUAAAAGAACAUGGGUUAGAAAAUCUAUUCUUGCACGAGAAACCAGAGAUGAAGGAUCAACUUUAGUACAAGAAAUACGUCUUGGAGACUUAAUUUGAUAUUACAAUUAUAUAAGAAUGAUUCCUGAACAUUUUGAUGUACUGCUUAACUUAGUUAAGCCUUAAUACGAAAGCAAGAAACAUAUUUUAGGCAACCAAUUUCACCAAAUAUUUGCUUGCUAAUAACAUUACGCUAUUUAGCAUCUCUUGCUAUGUCAUUUCGUUUUGGUAAAAAUACUUUAUCUGGCAUAAUAAGAAAUACAUGUGAAGCUAUUUGGAAAGUACUAAAAGAUUGUAUUUUAUUCCAACCAUCAGUACAUAAUUGGAAAAGAAUAGCAGAUGAUUUCUUUAGACAGUGGAACUUCCCACAUUGUAUUGGAGCUAUUGAUGGAAAACAUGUUGUGAUACAAGCUCCAGGACAUGCAUUUCUAAUGGUAGAUAUUGGUGCACAAGGUCGACAUAAUGAUAGUGGGAUCUUUAAAGGAUCUAUUAUGAACUAACGGUUUGAAAAUAAAGAAAUUUACCACCGUCAAGUCCAUUAUCAAAUUUUAGUAAUAGAUCUGUUCAUGCAUCUGUUCAUCCAUAUAUGCUUGUGGGAGAUGCUGCAUUCCAACUCAAUGAAUACACAUUAAGACCAUAUCUGGCAAAUCAAUUAGAUAUAGGAAAAAGAAAGUUUAACUAUAGACUAAGCCGAGCACGACGUGUUGUAGAAAACGCGUUUGGUAUUAUGAAUAGUAAAUGGAGAAUUUACAGAAAACCAAUAAUUGUGUCACUUGAAACAGUAGAAAGCAUUGUUAAAGCAACUGUUUGCAUAACUUUUUGCUACCAAUGACACAUAACACAAAUAUAUUGAAUAAUAUGUGUGGAAUUAUUGAAAAUGAAGGUGCCAUAAGAAGUGUCAAUCGUAUGGGAAGCAAUACAUAUUUGCGAUCAGCAGCAAAUAUUAGAGACAAAUUUUGUCGUUACUUUACAAA